rnacentral:rRNA from 1 species
AGCGAACGCUGGCGGCAGGCUUAACACAUGCAAGUCGAGCGCCCCGCAAGGGGAGCGGCCGACGGGAGAGUAACACGUGGGAACAUACCUUUUGGUUCGGAACAACUGAGGGAAACUUCAGCUAAUACCGGAUAAGCCCUUACGGGGAAAGAUUUAUCGCCGAAAGAUUGGCCCGCGUCUGAUUAGCUAGUUGGUGGGGUAACGGCUCACCAAGGCGACGAUCAGUAGCUGGUCUGAGAGGAUGAUCAGCCUCACUGGGACUGAGACACGGCCCAGACUCCUACGGGAGGCAGCAGUGGGGAAUAUUGGACAAUGGGGGCAACCCUGAUCCAGCCAUGCCGCGUGAGUGAUGAAGGCCUUAGGGUUGUAAAGCUCUUUUGCCCGGGAAGAUAAUGACGGUACCGGGAGAAUAAGCCCCGGCUAACUUCGUG